AUUGAACGCUGGCGGCAGGCCUAACACAUGCAAGUCGAACGGUAACAGGAAGAAGCUUGCUUCUUUGCUGACGAGUGGCGGACGGGUGAGUAAUGUCUGGGAAACUGCCUGAUGGAGGGGGAUAACUACUGGAAACGGUAGCUAAUACCGCAUAACGUCGCAAGACCAAAGAGGGGGACCUUCGGGCCUCUUGCCAUCGGAUGUGCCCAGAUGGGAUUAGCUAGUAGGUGGGGUAACGGCUCACCUAGGCGACGAUCCCUAGCUGGUCUGAGAGGAUGACCAGCCACACUAGAACUGAGACACGGUCCAGACUCCUACGGGAGGCAGCAGUGGGGAAUAUUGCACAAUGGGCGCAAGCCUGAUGCAGCCAUGCCGCGUGUAUGAAGAAGGCCUUCGGGUUGUAAAGUACUUUCAGCGGGGAGGAAGGGAGUAAAGUUAAUACCUAUACUCAUUGACGUUACCCGCAGAAGAAGCACCGGCUAACUCCGUG
rnacentral:rRNA from 1 species